rnacentral:rRNA from 1 species
CCUACGGGAGGCAGCAGUGGGGAAUAUUGCGCAAUGGGCGAAAGCCUGAUGCAGCAACACCGCGUGAGUGAAGAAGGCCUGCGGGUUGUAAAGCUCUUUCAGUUGGGAGGAAACAAUUGCGGUUUAAUAUCCCACGAUAUUGACGGUACCUGCAGAAGAAGCACCGGCUAACUCCGUGCCAGCAGCCGCGGUAAU